GGUUAAGCGACUAAGCGUACACGGUGGAUGCCCUGGCAGUCAGAGGCGAUGAAGGACGUGCUAAUCUGCGAAAAGCGUCGGUAAGGUGAUAUGAACCGUUACAGCCGGCGAUGUCCGAAUGGGGAAACCCAGUGCAAUUCGUUGCACUAUCGUUAACUGAAUACAUAGGUUAACGAGGCGAACCGGGGGAACUGAAACAUCUAAGUACCCCGAGGAAAAGAAAUCAACCGAGAUUCCCCCAGUAGCGGCGAGCGAACGGGGAGCAGCCCGGAGUCUGAAUCAGCUUGUGUGUUAGUGGAAGCGUCUGGAAAGUCGCAGGGUACAGGGUGAUACUCCCGUACACUAAAACGCACAGGUUGUGAACUCGAAGAGUAGGGCGGGACACGUGGUAUCCUGUCUGAAUAUGGGGGGACCAUCCUCCAAGGCUAAAUACUCCUGACUGACCGAUAGUGAACCAGUACCGUGAGGGAAAGGCGAAAAGAACCCCGGCGAGGGGAGUGAAAAAGAACCUGAAACCGUGUACGUACAAGCAGUAGGAGCCCACUAGUUGGGUGACUGCGUACCUUUUGUAUAAUGGGUCAGCGACUUAUAUUCUGUAGCAAGGUUAACCGUAUAGGGGAGCCGCAGGGAAACCGAGUCUUAACUGGGCGUUAAGUUGCAGGGUAUAGACCCGAAACCCGGUGAUCUAGCCAUGGGCAGGUUGAAGGUUGGGUAACACUAACUGGAGGACCGAACCGACUAAUGUUGAAAAAUUAGCGGAUGACUUGUGGCUGGGGGUGAAAGGCCAAUCAAACCGGGAGAUAGCUGGUUCUCCCCGAAAGCUAUUUAGGUAGCGCCUCGUGAACUCAUCUUCGGGGGUAGAGCACUGUUUCGGCUAGGGGGUCAUCCCGACUUACCAACCCGAUGCAAACUACGAAUACCGAAGAAUGUUAUCACGGGAGACACACGGCGGGUGCUAACGUCCGUCGUGAAGAGGGAAACAACCCAGACCGCCAGCUAAGGUCCCAAAGUCAUGGUUAAGUGGGAAACGAUGUGGGAAGGCCCAGACAGCCAGGAUGUUGGCUUAGAAGCAGCCAUCAUUUAAAGAAAGCGUAAUAGCUCACUGGUCGAGUCGGCCUGCGCGGAAGAUGUAACGGGGCUAAACCAUGCACCGAAGCUGCGGCAGCGACACUAUGUGUUGUUGGGUAGGGGAGCGUUCUGUAAGCCGUUGAAGGUGGCCUGUGAGGGUUGCUGGAGGUAUCAGAAGUGCGAAUGCUGACAUAAGUAACGAUAAUGCGGGUGAAAAACCCGCACGCCGGAAGACCAAGGGUUCCUGUCCAACGUUAAUCGGGGCAGGGUGAGUCGACCCCUAAGGCGAGGCCGAAAGGCGUAGUCGAUGGGAAACAGGUUAAUAUUCCUGUACUUGGUGUUACUGCGAAGGGGGGACGGAGAAGGCUAUGUUGGCCGGGCGACGGUUGUCCCGGUUUAAGCAUGUAGGCGGAUGUUCCAGGUAAAUCCGGAGCGUCACUAACGCUGAGGUGUGAUGACGAGGCACUACGGUGCUGAAGUGACAAAUGCCCUGCUUCCAGGAAAAGCCUCUAAGCAUCAGGUAACAUCAAAUCGUACCCCAAACCGACACAGGUGGUCAGGUAGAGAAUACCAAGGCGCUUGAGAGAACUCGGGUGAAGGAACUAGGCAAAAUGGUGCCGUAACUUCGGGAGAAGGCACGCUGAUGGUAGGUGAAGUGACUUGCUCAUGGAGCUGAAAUCAGUCGAAGAUACCAGCUGGCUGCAACUGUUUAUUAAAAACACAGCACUGUGCAAACACGAAAGUGGACGUAUACGGUGUGACGCCUGCCCGGUGCCGGAAGGUUAAUUGAUGGGGUUAUCCUCGCGGAGAAGCUCUUGAUCGAAGCCCCGGUAAACGGCGGCCGUAACUAUAACGGUCCUAAGGUAGCGAAAUUCCUUGUCGGGUAAGUUCCGACCUGCACGAAUGGCGUAAUGAUGGCCAGGCUGUCUCCACCCGAGACUCAGUGAAAUUGAACUCGCUGUGAAGAUGCAGUGUACCCGCGGCAAGACGGAAAGACCCCGUGAACCUUUACUAUAGCUUGACACUGAACACUGGUCCUUGAUGUGUAGGAUAGGUGGGAGGCUUUGAAGUGUGGACGCCAGUCUGCAUGGAGCCAUCCUUGAAAUACCACCCUUUAAUGGCUGGUGUUCUAACGUGGGCCCGUGAUCCGGGUUGCGGACAGUGUCUGGUGGGUAGUUUGACUGGGGCGGUCUCCUCCUAAAGAGUAACGGAGGAGCACGAAGGUCAGCUAAUCCUGGUCGGACAUCAGGAGGUUAGUGCAAUGGCAUAAGCUGGCUUGACUGCGAGCGUGACGGCGCGAGCAGGUGCGAAAGCAGGUCAUAGUGAUCCGGUGGUUCUGAAUGGAAGGGCCAUCGCUCAACGGAUAAAAGGUACUCCGGGGAUAACAGGCUGAUACCGCCCAAGAGUUCAUAUCGACGGCGGUGUUUGGCACCUCGAUGUCGGCUCAUCACAUCCUGGGGCUGAAGUAGGUCCCAAGGGUAUGGCUGUUCGCCAUUUAAAGUGGUACGCGAGCUGGGUUUAGAACGUCGUGAGACAGUUCGGUCCCUAUCUGCCGUGGGCGCUGGAGAAUUGAGGGGGGCUGCUCCUAGUACGAGAGGACCGGAGUGGACGCAUCACUGGUGUUCGGGUUGUCAUGCCAAUGGCAUUGCCCGGUAGCUAAAUGCGGAAGAGAUAAGUGCUGAAAGCAUCUAAGCACGAAACUUGCCCCGAGAUGAGUUCUCCCUGACUCCUUGAGAGUCCUGAAGGAACGUUGAAGACGACGACGUUGAUAGGCCGGGUGUGUAAGCGCAGCGAUGCGUUGAGCUAACCGGUACUAAUGAACCGUGAGGCUUAACCUU
rnacentral:rRNA from 1 species